CGAUGGAAAACAGGUUAAUAUUCCUGUACUAAUUUUUGAGUGGUACCGAGGGACGGAGGAGGGAACAGUUGGUCAAUAUUGGAUGUUGGCGGAAACGUUCAAGGUGAUGAGAGAUAGAAUAAAAACUAUUCUUGAGCUGAGGCGUGAUACGGUUUUAUUCCCUGUAUGAGAGCUUUGCUCAAAUUCAAAAUGAAACUCAAUUAGUUGUCAAACUUCCUAGAAAAGCUCGAACUUCCAAUACUUAAAAAUUACCCGUACCCGAAACCGACACAGGUAGGUAGGUAGAGUAUACCAAGGGGCGCGAGAUAACUCUCUCUAAGGAACUCGGCAAAAUGGCCCCGUAACUUCGGGAGAAGGGGUGCCCUCAAUUAAGAGGGCCGCAGUGACCAGGCCCAGGCGACUGUUUACCAAAAACACAGGUCUCCGCUAAGUCGUAAGACAAUAUAUGGGGGCUGACGCCUGCCCAGUGCCGGAAGGUGAAGGAAGUUGGUUACUUAGACUUUAGUCUGAGAAAGCUGACAACCGAAGCCCCGGUGAACGGCGGCCGUAACUAUAACGGUCCUAAGGUAGCGAAAUUCCUUGUCAGGUAAGUUCUGACCCGCACGAAAGGUGUAACGAUCUGGGCACUGUCUCGGAGAGAGGCUCGGUGAAAUAGACAUGUCCGUGAAGAUGCGGACUACCUACACCUGGACAGAAAGACCCUAUGAAGCUUUACUGUAGCCUGGAAUUGAAUUUGGGCUUUUUUUGCGCAGUCUAGGUGGGAGGCGUUGAUAGUUCCCUUCCGGGGGAGCUGGAGCCAUCAGUGAGAGACCACUCUGGAGAAGCUAGAAUUCUAAUGGCGAUCCUUGAAUCAGGACGCUUGACAGUUUCAGGUGGGCAGUUUGACUGGGGCGGUCGUCUCCUAAAAGGUAACGGAGAUGUGCAAAGGUUCCCUCAGGCUGGACGGAAAUCAGCCGAAGAGUGUAAAGGCAUAAGGGAGCUUGACUGCAAGACCUACAAGUCGAGCAGGGGCGAAAGCCGGCCUUAGUGAUCCGACGGUACCGAGUGGAAGGGCCGUCGCUCAACGGAUAAA
rnacentral:rRNA from 1 species